rnacentral:misc_RNA from 1 species
UCGCACAUGCUGUUUGCAGGUAGCUUUCGUCUGACACUGGCUUAUUCUGAUCUCAGGUGCUCGUGCAAGAGGUGCGGCAUCAUGCCGACGCCUAAAGAGUGCAUCUGCUGCAGGGAGUGUCCCCCCGCGGUCGCGACUCGCCCGGGAGGGUGCAUCACGGAGCACAACAACUUCGCACCGAUCUGCCUCCAGCCCGGCGUGCUCGAAGUCGCGUUCUGGGCUCUGCAGGAGGCAGGUCGUCACCCGGCGCCGCGAGAACAGAAGCUUCGUUUUGCGGCCUAUCACCAAUUCGUGCGGUGGAUGUGGCGGAGGCUGGGACGUCGCAAUCGACGUGUUCUACCGGCCUGCGUGGUCAAGAGGAUCCACGAUGAAUUCCCUUCGGA